GUCCGUUUUGUCUCGCGAGGCCUGGGGCAGGGAAGCCGGAUUCGGAGCAGCGAGAGAGGGCGGAGAAAUCUCGUAGGCGAGGCCGGAAGCGCCUUCUGGAGUCGGGCCUGGAGAGGGGAAAGAGGCUGGACACGGAGAGGACCGACAUGGCCGAGACGGACCCCAAGACUGUGCAAGACCUCACCGCCGUGGUGAGGUGGCAAGAAAAGCAGCCGCGGGGAAUGCCGGGGCGGGCGGGAAAGGAUUUCGGUUGCUAUGGAGACCGAAUGGGGCCACUCAAGUGGGGGAGUGUGUUGCCAUGGAGAAGAGAGAAGCGGGGCCUACCUAGUAGUGGGGGUUGCCAUGGAGACGAGGGCAGGAGUGGUCAGGGCGGGUCUGAUUGCCAUGGAAACCGAGGGGGCUCUGCUUGUUACAGAGAUUGGGGGUCGGGUGGGGCAUCUAUGGAUAUUUGGGGCGGGGGCUACUCUGUGCGGUUUAUUUUAAUGACUACCCCAGAGAGAGAAAUGUAUAUGUGAUGGAUAUUAUAUAAUGUAUAUAUUGUGUAUUUUUUUAAUCUGCCCCAAGACACACACACAUUCUGCCCCCCCCCUUUUCUUAUAUGUACACUAUGUACAUAACAAAUUUAUUUACAUCCUGCCUUUCAGAACACAGAUCCUCCCCAGGCAGUUUGGAAGUAACAAAGAUUCACUAAUACUAAUAUUUAGAAUACAACACUCCAUUAGGGUACUUCCUACAGUGUAGUUGGUAGGGGCAGAUGCUGAGGGACAGGGAGCCAGUGUAGGAUUCUGGAGGGCAGGGCUGUGUGUGUGUUGCAUGCCCUACCCCUUGGCUUGCUAAGUUGGUGCUCUGCCCUCAUACCAGUGUUGGCAAUUCUAUCCUGUCACCAGUGUUAAAGUUGGAUUCAGCUGCAGUCCAGUCACCUUUUGUAUGUGGUGUGGCGGGGAGUCACUGUCUUGGCCACCUCAGGCUACAAAAUGUUGAAUUGGGCCCAGAGCAGUAUGGAAACAUAUUUCAGGAUGCAUUUUGUAUCCUUAUUCAUUGGGAUCCCACCCUAGCAAGAGAAAUUGAAACAUCCAUAUAUCAUAUUUUAUCAGUGGUGAUGCUCCUAUGCAAUUUUAUAUUUGUUGGAUUGGCAAGCCUGCCCCCCCCCCCGCUGCCGCCACGCUUAAUAAUUUGCUAUUUGCCAGCCUGGCAGUUUCCACAAGAAGAGAUAUUUUCACAUAACUAACCCUUCAGAACUUCAUUUAAUGCUUCAUAGCUCAAGUAUGCUUGGGAUCUUUGUCAGAACCCAGUGUUCACUUUCAGAAGUUGUGAUGAAUACAUUUCACAUGCAGAGCUUAGUAUUGGCCAAAACGCCUCCUUUGGGUUAAAUACUGCACCUGGGGGCCAAGAAAUUAAAAUCCUGUGGCCCCAAAUAAUUCCUGUUUAAAGCAAAACACUACUUUUUUUUCCCUCCUCAGGUGCAGACACUGCUGCAGCAAAUGCAGGACAAGUUUCAAACCAUGUCUGACCAGAUUAUUGGCCGGAAUAUCCUUUGGGUUUUCCAUCUUUUAAACAGAGCUCUUUGUGUGAUGUAAUAAUAAUAAAAUAAUUUAUUAAUUAUACCCCGCCCAUCUGGCUGAGUUUCCCCAGCCACUCUGUGAUGUACAGAAUGGAUGAAUUCUAUAAAUCCCCCAAAUGACUUGGUUCCUCCAAAGGCUGUAUAUUUAAAGCGGUAUCAUACCACUUUCAACAGUUAUGGCUUCUCCCAAAUAAUCCUAGGAACUGUAGCUUGUUAAAAGUGCUGAGAAAUAUUCGGAGACGCCAUCUCUCCUCAACAGAGCUAUAUUUUCCCGAGUUCCCUGGGAAGAGUGAGUGAUGGUUAAAACAUUAUGUGAUGGAGCCUAACUUUUGAGGACAAAGGAAGGGAAGGUAGAGGGCUGUUAUAUACCAGAUAAUAUAUUAUUUCUCCCCCAGCCCAGGAUUGUCUAUUCUGGCAGGAUUGCAGGAAGUGAAUGAUGAUUUCUUGGCAUAUAGCUACUAGCCAUAACAACUUGAUGAGUACUGGUCAUCUGGGAGCAACUGUAGAAGAGGCCUCAUGUCCGGCUUGUGUUACUGUGUUCUAAAGCUGUUAGCGCUUCAGUAGGUGCUGAGCAGUUCUUACUUUUAUAUACUGCUUGAUUGUAAAAAAGCAGUUUACAAAGAGAAUAAAACAAUAAAAUUAUUAGUAAAAUCAAUUUAAAACAUUCAUGAUUUUUUUUAAAAAAAAUACCAAGCAAUAAACUAAAAAUGCACCACAUUUUAAAUAUCUGGGCAGGCAUAUCUAAACAAAGACAUUUUUAGCAGGGACCAAAAAGAGUACUGUGAAGGCGUCUGCCUGAUCUCAAUAAGCAAGACUUCCAAAGCAUAGGUGCUGCCACACUAAAAUACCAAUUUCUUACAAGUGUAGGAUGUGUUAUAUGUGGGCUCUGUAACAGUGCCAGUUCCACCUAACAUUGAAAUCUUCAUUAUUGAUUUUUAUAAUGAGGCCCAAUUUACUUAGUUAUAAAAACAUCAGGCUUUCUGAGGGUCAGGUGGUGUCUCUUCACUUUUGCAUUUCUCUAGUCUGUUUUCUUUAACUCUGUUCACUUGAUGACAUGAGCUGCCGUAUUGACGACCUGGAGAAGAACAUCGCAGAUCUCAUGACGCAAGCUGGAGUGGAGGAGCUGGAAGGCGAGAACAAGGCACCUGCUACCAAAACAUCAAGUGAGAAUCAUGUUCAAAUGAGUUCAGAACAUGUUAAGCAGGGCUACAUAUUGGGAACUGAAACUAUCUUUCUGGACUGUGGGAACGGGCAGGCUAAGCAGAGUGGCUUUCAGCUGGUGGAUUGGGAACCCAGAUGAAGGGGAGAAGAUGGGUUGCACCAUUAGCACAAUCUUACAUUGCUUUGCUUUCUUCUUCUGGUAAGAGAGAGGGGAAAUACCUCCUAAAAUGGGUAGGGAACCCAUGAACCUCCAGAUGUUGCUGGACUCCCAACUCUCAUUGUCCCUGAUAAUUGGCCAUGAUGCUGGGGUUGAGUUGGCACCCAACAGCAUCUGGUGAGUUACUAAUUCACCACCCCUUUACCAGAAAGAACUAAAAGUAGUCCUGUAUUUGAAUUGGGUCUGAAAUUAUCAAAGAGUGCUAGGCUUGGACUGUCUGUUUUCAAAGGUUGGAACAUUUUGCCCCUCUGUUUAGAACAGGAGCUGAUUCACACACCAGAUGCAUACAGUGCUAGAGCUAAAUAGGCCUUGGCUUGCUAAACAUCUGGAUGGGUGCCAUGCCCCAGUUUUCCAGAGUGUCUUAAGUUUAAUAGAAUAAUACUUCCUGGAGUAUUAUUGGCAGUAGGUUGUAAAUAGAAGAAAUAAAUGGAUGGCACUUCUUGCCACCAGGUGUAGCUGUGGCUGCAUGGAGAAGAGUCUUGUUGCUAGAAACAGCUGAUAGUAACAGUAGUCACUUGUGCGCAAUACAGCCUAUAGAGCUAUAUCUCUUUGAAUACCAGCUGGCAGGAUACAGCUGUCACCUCAUGCCCUGCUUGCAAGCUACAGAGAAAUCACACUGGCCAGUGUUGGGCCUGGCUUAGUGGUCCAGCAAGCUAGUUAAUAAGGUUCUUAAACAAGUGGAACCUACCACAAACUGUUGCAGUGUGGAGGGCUCCUGUUCAGUGUGACAGACACCCAUGGCCACCUCCAAGAUAUUCCAUUACAUUUUUCUCCCUGAUUUUCUCCCCUCACCAUCUACAAAAUCAGCUGGUCAUUCCAUGACCACUGAGCAUACUUAGUCCUUUUUGGGCUGUUUUGGAAGCCUCUCCUUCCUUCCAUAUUUCCCCCCUCACCCAAGGUUUUCUUGAGAAUUCUCCCCUGCCUCUGGAUUAUUUAGGCUGGCUCUGUUUUGGCUACACAAGAAUAAUCCACAUUCAGAAAAUGUGUUCACUGCUAGCAUCUAACCACACUUCCUUUCAGAUUUAACACUGCCUGCCUCCCUCCCACGUUAAGGGCUGCAUGUUCAGAACAUUUGCUUGCUUGCUUGUUUAUAGUGUUUAUAUCCUGCUUUUUAUAUCCCAGUUGCUGGGAAUUGCAGGCAGGGAGAGUUGUCUUGCUCUCAGGUGCUGCUUGCGGGUUUCCUAUUGGGGCAUCUGGUUGGCCACUGGGAGAACAGAAUGUAGGAGCACAUGGGAUUUGGCCCUGCUUCAGUAGCCAGACUCUCCUUGUGUUCUUUCCUUCAAUAACCCCAAGGUUACAUAUGUAGUUCUGCCUCUUGUUUGUUUUCAUAACAGCCCUAAGAGAUAGGAUGGGUUGGGAGGAAGUGACUGGGACAAGGUCAAGGGCUAGCAACUUCAUAGCUGAGUAGUGUUUUUGAACCUUGGUCCUAAUCUUGGACUCUACUUGCUACAUUAUUUUUUCAGUUAAAAGUAUUUUUAGAUGCAGACUUUGUUAACACUGCUUAUGAACAUUGGUAGUUUUCUCUGGUAGCAUUCUUGUUAAUAAAUGUGUCUUUUUAAUCCCCUCAACAGCUUGCCAAUAAUCUACGAUGGGUGCUGGAAGGAAGCGGUUUUUACAAGCCUACAGGGAUUUGAAGACAGCCUUUUUGUUUUCUUUCCUUUUUUUCAACUGCUAAUAUGUAAACGCAUUUUUCUACUGCUGUAGAACUUGCAUUCUUAAUGUACCUUGUAUAGCUAGAUUUGGAACAAUUUCUAUUCUGGUUUCUUGUGUAUUUGUGGGUUUCACACAGUUUUUCAAAGUAACACAUUCUAUAAACUUCAGUUGUUUAAGCAGAAUUUGAUGGCAUUGCAGAAUUUGAUAAGAAUUGAAUUGAAAAUACUAACAUUAUGAGUGGGCUUUUGUGAGGUCGCACUUUUAAAAAGAAAAAGAAAACAUUUUUACUUGUGGCCUUUUUGUAAUUAUUUUCAAUGAUGUGGCUAAAGACUAGUCCUUUCCAUCAGCCUGCACAACAAAUUUGUCAUGUGUUUGUAAGGUACUUUUGUGGACUAGAGUACAAGAAUGAAAACAUUGUGUUCUAAAAUCUGUCAUUGUGCCAGUAUGUUGCCCUGUUAGUAAUGGAUUUAAUACAACAAGCAAUCUGCUCUGGGGGAUUUAGGCUGCAUGAACCAUAACUCUUCUUUUUAGUUUUCUUAUUAUCAGUCAGUGUUCUUCAUGAUACCAGCUUGUGGUUUUGGACAAAUGAUAUAUUAAGCUCAUAUUUCAGUAAGCUGCUGGCAGUGCUGCCCUGGGAAUGGGCUUCUGCAUUUGGGAGAUAUCCCUUUAGAAAGCUAGUUUAUUCCCAGGUAUGGAGAUUACCUGUUUAAACCUAUUAUUAACUUGGGGGUGGAUGGUUCUGCAUUCCUCAUAAAAUAAAAGGGAAGUAUUACUGGGACAUCCCAGCAGCUCAUCCUGGGCUCCCUUCUUUUUUCAGUGGGAUGCUGGAUGUGAAGACCAUCCCAAAACCAAUGUGAAUCAGUGAAGGUCCUGUGCUUCAUGGGGCUACUUGGGUCUUGGCUUGGUGACUGAAAAAUAAGCCCGCCUGCUUCAGGAUCAUAUCCUUUCCUGCACCUUCAAUCACUACUCCCUCUUUUCCAUGUGUCUUGUGCCCUCCAAGGGAAUUCCACCAGUCACUUUUAAUAAUCACUGGUCAAGGAUCUUGCUAUUGAUUGAUCUUAUAUCCCAGCGGAGUGCAGCAAAGGAGACAGGGCCUAUUGCUGCAGGUAGGUGCUCUAGCACAAGAUAGCCGCAACCCCAAUCCAGCACGCUACAAAGCAAAUGUCAUUUGCACCAGGAUAAACGUAAAUGCAAAUAUAACAUUUGCUUAUGCUAGAGAUUGGGAAGCUCUGGCCUUACCACAUACUUGCAUUGUUCCUGACCAUUGGUCAUGCUGGCUGGAGUUCCCAACCACAGCUGGAAGACUAGAACUCUUAAACAGUGUAAUCCUAUACAUAUUUAUUCAGAAGAAAAUCCCGCUGUUCAGUGGGGCUUGCUACUAAACAAGUGUAUUAGGAUUGCAGCCUAAGAAUCCACUACACUUUGCGUCAACAUACUUAUACAGUAUAGCCUCAGAGUUCCCUGGGAAGAGAUUGAUUGAUAAAUCAUGCUGGGAAUUGUAGCUCUGGGAGGGGAAAAGGGGUCUCAUAACAACUGGAACGCUAUGAUCCCCAGGAUUCUUUGGGGGGAUCCCUGACUGUUUAAAGUGGCAUGAUACUGCUUAAAACAUACCAUGCAGAUGGGGCAUAUGAUAAGCUCCCAUGCAUGUUUGCUUUGAAUCUUAGCUGCUGAUAGCACAGAGAGGACCUGUCCCAUGACAGGCCAGGUUAUAUGUCAAUUGCUCUUGCUGGUUAGCCCCUCCAUUUAACUGGCCUGCUUGUGAAAAGACUCAGCAAGUCUGAUGUGAACCAGGUGAGAGUCCAUCUACGUAGUUGUAACUGAAAGAGCCACAUAUUGGUCCGUAAGAGGUCUUUAUCCACUCAAGGUAAUAGCUAUAGGGGGCUCUAGAAGACAUUGGGAACCUUCUCAUUUAUAUAUUUUCCCAGCAGUAGAACCACUUUAGGAGUUGAACAUUUGUUAAUAAUAAUAAUAUAUAAUAAUAAUUUAUUAUUUAUACCCCACCCAUCUGGCUGGGCACCAAGAAAUAAAGAGAGGAAGAUAGGAUUUUGGGGGGUGACUAGCUGGAAGUUGUAAUAACUCCCCACCUUGUCGAAAACAUGCAAGAUACUUCUCCACCCCUCAGCAUCAUCUGUCAUUCACCAUCUGUUUGUGCCACUCAUAAAACAUCUCAUGUCUGUUGUGGUGAUAACGUGGACACUGUUAAUACUCAAGGUGCCAAGGAAGUCCUCUUAAGCUGUAUUAAGAAAGCAAAGGGAGAUAGGAGAAAAUGCAUUGUGUACCACCAGCCUUAGACUUUCCAGUCCUGUUAGAACUGUCUAAUAAAAUGCUGAAAUUGCUCUAAAAUAAGGCUAGAUUUGUGUGUAGGACAUGCACUCUGCGGAUCUUGUGUCUUUAGUGAUUAACAUUUGGUUGGAAGUCUCCACAGUGAAUAAUUAUUCUGCCAUGGGGUCUGGGGUGGCCAGGGGGGACCUGGUCAUCCAGUGUGGGCUGCAGGAUCCUGGACAAGAUAGGCCCUUUGUCUGAUCCAGCUAGGCUCCUGCAUUAUAUUAUUAGCUAUAAUAGCUAUAAUAGCUAAAUGGAAACUCCAUGCUUAGAGGCCCUAUACCUCUUAACCUGUUGCUGGCGGGCAAACAGUGGGGAAGGGCUGUUGCUUUGUCAUUCUGAUUCUGAGCAUUCUAGGGGCAUCUUGCUGGCCAUUUUUUACCAGAAUGCUGAGCCGGAUAAGCCUUUGGUCUGAGAAAAGGGAUUGAUUACUCUUACAUGCUUAUGUGAGGCAGGUAUGCUGUGACAGUGCCCCAGUUCACAAAUAGCAAUAAACCAGCUUUAUGUGAGCACACUGAUUUCUGGAGAGGAGAAUGUGGCCACAUUGCUCCUCCAGUGGUACUGUGAGCUAAAUCAGGGUUUGGCUUAGUGUGCUGUCCAAAGUUAGGCCCAUGGUUUGUCUCACUGGAGAAAAACCAUAAACUGUAACCCUUGUUUGCUCUUGGUUUGCCUGAAGGAUUCCAUACCCAUUAGCAGAUGGCAUGGUGGGGCAACUGUGCUCACCUAACCUCCUGACAGUUGAGCCUCUGAUGGUUACCAGGAACUAGAGAAGGAAGGGUGAGGAAGUGUGGAAUUUCAUGCAGUUCAAACACAUCAGCAGGAGUGCCAGAUUGAUUCUGCCAAUGUGUUUGUACCUCGAUGACCUCCCUCCACCUCCCCAGGAAGCAGAUGUGACUGUCGGGUUAGGUGAACACCACUAUCACUACACUGCCUGCUACUGACGACAUCUCACAUCACCCCAAAUCUUUUAACAUGCUGGCUGGGAAUGAUGGGACUUUGAGUCCAACAGCAUCUGUAGGGGCACAGGUUCCUCAUUCCUUAGCUAAAGCAGGGCAGAGUGGGGUGGAAAAAGCUAGAAUGGGAAUUCUGAUCACAGAUCUCUUGUAUUAAGUGCCAUUUGCCCCUGAGAUUACAAGUAAUAAUAAUAAUAUUAUAAUAAUAGUUUAUUACUUAUACCCCGCCAAUCUGGCUGGUUUUCCCCAGCCGCUCUGGGCGGUUUCCAGCAGAAUAUUAAAAUACAAUGAUUCAACAAAUGUUAAAAGCUUCCCUAAACAGAGCUGCCUUCAGAUGUCUUCUAAAAGUUUGAUAGUUUUUUAUUUCUUUGACAUCUGAUGGGAGGGCGUUCCACAAGGUGGGUGCCACUACUGAGAAGGCCCUCUGCCUGGUUCCCUGUAACUUUGCUUCUCGCAGUGAGGGAACCGCCAGAAGGCCCUCAGCGCUGGACUUCAGUGUCCGGGCAGAACGAUGGGGGUGGAGACGCUCCUUCAGGUAUACUGGGCCAAGGCCGUUUAGGGCUUUAAAGGUCAGCACCAACACUUUGAAUUGUGCCUGGAAACAUCAAGUUUGCAAUUGAUGUUUCUUUUGCAGUUCAUCAGUUGAAGUAAAAAAAGCAAUAGCACAGAGCUGAUGGUAAUCAGCCCACACCAAAAACAAUGUACUCCACAAUUACAGUCAGCCCUGAUUCACACACACAGAAACACCACUUGAUCUCUGAUUACUCAGCGCUCCAUGACACCUAGCUGGGUGCACCAGCUCUUUGCAAUGAAAACCCACUGAGCUACAACUGAAUAUACAAAACUCGUUUGUGAAUCUGAGUAAUUUGAACUUCUCAAGUGGAGUUGUUUUUGUUUUAUUUAUAUCCCACUUUUCUUUCAAGGAGCUCAAGUUAGUGUGCUUUGCUUUCUCCCUCCCCAUUUUAUGCUUACAAGAACCAUGGGAGGUUAAGCUUAAGAAUCUGGCUCACCAAAUGAGCUGCAUGGUUGAGUGAGAAUUUAAACCCUGGCAUCCCUGGUCUUAGUCCAACACUCUAGCCACUACACCACACUGGCAGCUUUUAUUUUAACAUUCCUAUGUUGAAAAGCAACCACAACUGGGGAGAAGAGGGUCAUCUAAACCCUCAAUUUGGAAAGCAUAGAUUGAUUUAAAUUUGUUUGCUUUUUAAUUGCACUCAAAUUCCCUUGGCAUUGUUCUUCCAUGACUGGUUGCCAUCCUUUCUUAUUAGCAAAUUUGUAUGCUACACUAAGAGUAGGACCUUUAGUGUGGCAGCACCAGUUCCUGGAAUGUGUUUCCAAUGAAUAGGCGGAAGCCUUCAUGACUGACAUUUAGGCACCUGCUUAAAACUCACCUGCUCACCCAAGUAAUCCCUGAUGGGUGAUCCAGCUCUGUUGACAUAUUAACCUGAUCUACCCUUUGUGAUCUCCAAGUAGGGCUUGGAGAGAUCCUUGCCUGAAAUCCUGGAGGACCACUGUGAGUCAGUAUAGACAAUACCAAGCCAGGUGUUUCAGUAGCCUGACUUGGGCUGAGGCUGUUUCCUAUCUUCCUAUGACAGUUCUGGUUCCUGGCACAAAGGGACAUCUGUUUUCCUCUCCUUGGAGUUUGGCCAUAGCUGAUUUUAUGUUUCUCAUCCUCUAGAAGCAUAAAUCCGGAUUGCAGUUUUAUGGCAGAUACUGCCCUCUAGUGCACAAUGUCCCUGUUUCUUGUUUUUAAUAAAAAAACAGAGUCUGUUCCAAUUA